rnacentral:rRNA from 1 species
CGCGUAGGUGGUCAAAUAAGUCUGGUGUGAAAUAUCUCGGCUCAACCGAGGAAACGCGCUGGAAACUGUCUGACUUGAGUGAUGGAGGGGGAGCUGGAAUUCCAGGUGUAGGGGUGAAAUCUGUAGAGAUCUGGAAGAACACCGGAGGCGAAGGCGAGCUCCUGGCCAUCUACUGACACUGAGGCGCGAAAGCGUGGGGAGCGAACAGGAUUAGAUACCCUGGUAGUCC